rnacentral:rRNA from 1 species
GCUUAACGCGAAGAACCUUACCAGCCCUUGACAUGGGAAGUAUGGACUUGAGAGAUCAGGUUCUUCAGUUCGGCUGGCUUCCACACAGGUGCUGCAUGGCUGUCGUCAGCUCGUGUCGUGAGAUGUUGGGUUAAGUCCCGCAACGAGCGCAACCCUCAUCUUCAGUUGCCAUCAUUUAGUUGGGCACUCUGAAGAAACUGCCGGUGACAAGCCGGAGGAAGGCGGGGAUGACGUCAAGUCCUCGUGGCCCUUACGGGUUGGGCUACACACGUGCUACAAUGGUGGUGACAAUGGGGAGCGAGGCCGCGAGGCCAAGCCAAUCUCAAAAAGCCAUCUCAGUUCGGAUUGCACUCUGCAACUCGAGUGCAUGAAGUUGGAAUCGCUAGUAAUCGCGCAUCAGCAUGGCGCGGUGAAUACGUUCCCGGGUCUUGUACACACCG